UGCUUCUGGGAGCACGUGUGCAACCUGAGUCUGUGCAGGUCCCUGUUCCCCCGCCCUUUUCUCCUGCAGCGCAACAGUACGAACAGGAGAAGGCUGCAUUCCUCAGCUUGCCCCUUUCUCCAAAAUGUUACUGGGAGGGAGUUGAAGAUGGAUGACCAUAUCGACACAAUGUAGAGUAAGAAUUGUUGCAGAGUAGUCCUUACACAGAAUCCAGGUCUCUUCUGUUGCCCUGCCAGCAAGCAGAUUGGAGUGCAAAAGAAGUCUGGACACAGGAUAGCUGAUCCAAACUGUCCAGGGGGAUAUUUCAUACCAUUAUAGUGCCAUGUUCCACAAUAAAGAUGUUGGGAAAGAAGGAGAAAGUGGAGG
ensembl:lncRNA